CACAAGGAACAUUCUUCAACCUUUCUGAUUCUUCAUCCUUUGCGAAUAUUUUGGGUGUCUUUGGCCCAUGGUUCACACUCGCUCUAAGUUUUCCACCACAUCCUUGAACACGACACUUAGCCACAUACAGAGUUUUUGUUGUCUUAUAUGCUGAAAAUGUAAAUUUAUAUUUCACAGUACUUCAGCUUUGAAACAAGCUCAGCCUUACUAGCAAAACUAUAAACGAAGACUUACAAAUACGUCUACAAUUAUUAGCUAACAACAUUGUCAAAUCAAAUGAAUUAUACCUUCAUAAUUAUAAAAAAAAAAUUUUUCAAAAUCACUCAAACCCAUUAGGAUUAACUAAUACACACUGUCA
rnacentral:lncRNA from 1 species